UCGGCUCAAUUUACAUGCACAUAUUUCACGUUUUACAAACACUUUGCCUUGAUUUAAUCUUAAAAAGGCGUACAAUAGUAGCACAGGCUGAGUCAUCAAAUAUGAUGUUUUGUUUGUAAGUGUGCACAAAAAUCUCUGCUGCCAAUUAUGUACUGUAACCCUUCAGGCUAUCCUAAUCUACACAAUGGGUUAAGGUUUACAAAUUAUUCAAGGAUAAUGUACGCAUUUGUUUAUUUUCUGGUAUUACAUGGAUCUUCUAAACAAUGGAAACAUUCACUACUCACAAAUAGUUAGCAUUGGACAUUUCAUGAUGUUCUGAAAAUGCACGACAACUUUUACAGGUGAACUUAAUCCGACCUGUAAACUUUUGUAUUCCCCACUGUUGAAUGUUUCAGUACUUGUGCACAACCUGCUGCUCUGGAAUAAUGAGGUGAAGGGCAAAAUUCAACACAGGAUGUUCUCAGAGUGGCCACUGAACUUGGAGUUACCAACUUUGAGUCUCCUUUGACUUCUCACCAACAAUUGCCCACAAUGACAUGAUCGUCAGACUGGCGAGUGAUUCCAAGGACAAGCGUGAGAAAUUCCCGGCGCGGAGGAGUCAGCAAAGCCCAUCGACAGAACAUCCGUCGACCGCUUUGAUGCUGCAGCCAAGGGUUCUCCAGGAGCCAGUCGGAUCAAGCCUGAAAGAAAACUCGGUCAACUUUGCUGAAAAUCCAAAUCGGACUCAUCGUCAGAGUUGCGUGAAGACGCGCAGGGCUAACCAGCGCCGACCGCCAAUGCGUCGACUCGACCUCCUGACGAAUCGCGGCGUCGAAAAGUAGCAAGACGACCCACAAGACUUCAUUUGGCUGAAGCGAGCGGGCGCCGUGCCCCGAGGGGCUUCCAAUGCGCAACCGCCGUCGAGGCGCCCCGGCGUCAAGGUUAGCACUUGAAGGCAGCGUUUGUGAAAAUGCAUGCUGAUGUCCGCCGGGAGCAGAAUUCUGAUGAGGAAGGCGCAUACGUUGGAGGGCCCCCGCUCGGAGAUUGAAUGUGGUCCAAGUAAUUCCGUCUGCUUCCCUCCCGGGCUUUGCGCAGGGGGUCGUUUGAUGUCAAAAUUCUGCAGUGAUCGCAGGAAUGUGGAGAAGCCCCCUCCGCCUUAAGAUAAGAAACUUUAUUGUCUCACAAUGGAGAAAUUUGCAAUGCACUGACUGACUAUACAUGGGACUAUACAUGGUCGU